rnacentral:rRNA from 1 species
UGGGGAAUUUUGGACAAUGGGCGAAAGCCUGAUCCAGCAAUGCCGCGUGUGUGAAGAAGGCCUUCGGGUUGUAAAGCACUUUUGUCCGGAAAGAAAUCCUUGGCUCUAAUACAGUCGGGGGAUGACGGUACCGGAAGAAUAAGCACCGGCUAACUACGUGCCAGCAGCCGCGGUAAUACGUAGGGUGCAAGCGUUAAUCGGAAUUACUGGGCGUAAAGCGUGCGCAGGCGGUUUGCUAAGACCGAUGUGAAAUCCCCGGGCUCAACCUGGGAACUGCAUUGGUGACUGGCAGGCUAGAGUAUGGCAGAGGGGGGUAGAAUUCCACGUGUAGCAGUGAAAAUGCGUAGAGAUGUGGAGGAAUACCGAUGGCGAAGGCAGCCCCCUGGGCCAAAUACUGACGCUCAUGCACGAAAAGCGUGGGGAGCAAAACAGGAUUAGAUAACCCUGGUAGUCCACGCCCUAAAACGAUGUCAACUAGUUGUUGGGGAUUCAUUUCCUUAGUAACGUAGCU